GACGAACGCUGGCGGCGUGCCUAAUACAUGCAAGUAGAACGCUGAAGAGAGGAGCUUGCUCUUCUUGGAAGAGUUGCGAACGGGUGAGUAACGCGUAGGUAACCUGCCUUGUAGCGGGGGAUAACUAUUGGAAACGAUAGCUAAUACCGCAUAACAAUGGAUGACCCAUGUCAUUUAUUUGAAAGGGGCAACUGCUCCACUACAAGAUGGACCUGCGUUGUAUUAGCUAGUAGGUGAGGUAACGGCUCACCUAGGCGACGAUACAUAGCCGACCUGAGAGGGUGAUCGGCCACACUUGUACUGAGACACGGCCCAGACUCCUACGAGAGGCAGCAGUAGGGAAUCUUCGGCAAUGUGGGCAGCCCUGACCGAGCAACGCCGCGUGAGUGAAGAAGGUUUUCGGAUCGUAAAGCUCUGUUGUAAGUCAAGAACGAGUGUGAGAGUGGAAAGUUCACACUGUGACGGUAGCUUACCAGAAAGGGACGGCUAACUACGUGCCAGCAGCCGCCGUAA
rnacentral:rRNA from 1 species